ACGGGUGAGUAAUGCUUGGGAAUCUAGCUUAUGGAGGGGGAUAACUACGGGAAACUGUAGCUAAUACCGCGUAAUAUCGAAAGAUUAAAGUGUGGGACCUUCGGGCCACAUGCCAUAGGAUGAGCCCAAGUGGGAUUAGGUAGUUGGUGGGGUAAAGGCCUACCAAGCCUGCGAUCUCUAGCUGGUCUGAGAGGAUGGCCAGCCACACUGGAACUGAGACACGGUCCAGACUCCUACGGGAGGCAGCAGUGGGGAAUAUUGCGCAAUGGGGGGAACCCUGACGCAGCCAUGCCGCGUGAAUGAAGAAGGCCUUCGGGUUGUAAAGUUCUUUCGGUAUUGAGGAAGGAGUGUAUGUUAAUAGCAUACAUUAUUGACGUUAAAUACAGAAGAAGCACCGGCUAACUCCGUGCCAGCAGCCGCGGUAAUACGGAGGGUGCGAGCGUUAAUCGGAAUAACUGGGCGUAAAGGGCACGCAGGCGGUUAUUUAAGUGAGGUGUGAAAGCCCCGGGCUUUACCUGGGGAAUUGCAUUUCAGACUGGGUAACUAGAGUAACUUUAGGGAGGGGUAGAAUUCCACGUGUAGCGGUGAAAUGCGUAGAAAUGUGGAGGAAUACCGAAGGUUAAGGCAU
rnacentral:rRNA from 1 species